CACCAGACUCCUACGGGAGGCAGCAGUGGGGGAUAUUGCACAAUGGGGGGAACCCUGAUGCAGCGACGCCGCGUGGGUGAAGAAGUAUUUCGGUAUGUAAAGCCCUAUCGGCAGGGAAGAAAUUGGACGGUACCUGACUAAGAAGCCCCGGCUAACUACGUGCCAGCAGCCGCGGGAAUACGUAGGGGGCAAGCGUUAUCCGGAUUCACUGGGUGUAAAGGGUGAGUAGGCGGCAUGGUAAGCCAGAUGUGAAAGCCUUGGGCUUAACCCGAGGAUUGCAUUUGGAACUAUCAAGCUAGAGUACAGGAGAGGAAAGCGGAAUUCCUAGUGUAGCGGUGAAAUGCGUAGAUAUUAGGAGGAACACCAGUGGCGAAGGCGGCCUGCUGGACGAUGACUGACGUUGAGGCUCGAAAGCGUGGGGAGCAAACAGGAUUAGAUACCCGUGUAUAA
rnacentral:rRNA from 1 species